UACAGAGGGGGCAAGCGUUUAUUCGGAAUUAUUGGGCGUAAAGGGCGCGUAGGCGGCCUGGCAAGUGGAAGGUGAAAUCCCUCGGCUUAACCGAGGAACUGCCCUCCAAACUGCUUGGCUUGAGACCGGGAGAGGUGAGUGGAAUUCCCAGUGUAGCGGUGAAAUGCGUAGAUAUUGGGAGGAACACCAGUGGCGAAGGCGGCUCACUGGACCGGUACUGACGCUGAGGCGCGAAAGCGUGGGGAGCAAACGGG
rnacentral:rRNA from 1 species